GUGCCAGCAGCCGCGGUAAUACGUAGGUGGCAAGCGUUGUCCGGAUUUAUUGGGCGUAAAGCGUGUGCAGGCGGCUAUUUAAGUGUGAUGUGAAAUCCCACGGCUUAACUUGGGGGCUGCAUUGCAAACUGGAUGUCUUGAGUGCAGGAGAGGAAAGCAGAAUUCCAAGUGUAGCGGUGAAAUGCGUAGAGAUUUGGAGGAACACCAGUGGCGAAGGCGACUUUCUGGUCUGUAACUGACGCUGAGGCGUGAAAGCAUGGGGAGCAAACAGGAUUAGAUACCCUGGUAGUCCAUGCCGUAAACGAUGAGU
rnacentral:rRNA from 1 species